AGAAACAUAAGGUGGAAGAAGAGAAAGGGGGAGGAGAGGAGAUGGGGAGGACGGUGUCGGCGGGCGUCACUGCCGCCGCACCGUCGCGUCGCGCAGGGGCGAGAGGAGCGAGAUCCGUGAAUGAGGCAAGGAUCUGCACCGGUGGCAUUGGGGUUUGCCGUUGCCGCUUGAUGCCGCCGAGGGGAGGAGGGUUACAACCACCGCAAGGAGCCGUCGAUGUCACCGUCGCGAGUCACCAUCCCCGAGUUGUAGCACCAUGAAGCCAGCCUCUUCGCGUCGCCGCGGCUGCCCGCGCUAUCGUCGUCGCCGUUGGUCCACCGGGAGUCACCGUUGAAACUGAGACACAGAGAGAGAGGGUACGCGAGUAAGAAGGGGCUGAGGGCCUAAAACCGCCGUGCCUGGUCUCGUCUGUGAAGCCAUUGCCGUCGUCAGCAGAACAGAGGGCGAGAGAGAGACAGAGAGCUCGCGGUGGGGGAAACAACCUACGACGCCGCUGGAGCUUCUAUGGCCGUCGGAUGCUGCCGCCGCCAGAAUUUCUGGUCACUGCCGUUCUGGUGAGCUUGCCCUGUUUCUGGUUCCUCCUAGUUCUGCCAGUUCAAUUUUACUUUGAAGCUGUCGCUGAAAAUGUUGUAUUUGAUGAAGUGGCUGUCAUAAGUUGCGUUGUCAUUGCCGGAGACGCUGUUGUAGUCUCCGGACCCAUCACCAGAGCUUCUGCAGUUUGAUUCAGUCCUUAAUCCUUUCUCACGGGUCAAUCUCCGGUUAUUGCGGGUCACGAUUAAAGCUGCCGCCGAACCGGUUCAGGGACCGCCGCUGUUUGGUGCAGCCGUUCUUUCUUUGUUUCGAGAGCAAGCAGAGGCGAGGUUCUGAUUUUCGGUGAUUUUGGGCUGAGCGAAAAGGAAUCAGUUAACGAGUUUGGGUUAUAGCUUCAAUUUGUCGAGGAUAUGGGCGCAGAAGUCACGAAGAGUUUAUUUAAUUGUUGUUGAAAUGUUAUAUAUUGUUUUAGAUUAUUAUUUAAUGUACCCUCGCCUUUGUCUUGAGAUAUUCUAUAAGAGGGAUAGGAAUUGUUUUGG